UCCGAUAUGGUGUACCGGCUAGCAUCACCCGCUUUCAAUGCUUUCAUUAGCUAUGAUCCGGGUAGAACCGGGUUCGACUCCCGGUAUCGGAA